ensembl:lncRNA
GUCUUGAUUACUGCAAAGAGAACGUGGUCCCCACAGACUGGGUACAUGUUUAGACCUUCAGAGCUUAGAGGAGACCACUUUUAGGGCUAGUUUUCAGGAACACCUGGUGCUGGUGGUUUAAGGAGAAGGCAGGGUUUGGGAUGUGCUCUCCUGCAGCGCUCUGCGCGUUGAAGAACCCGGCUCUGGGCUGGACUCCCAUCAGCCGAGCACCGAGGCCACCCAGGAGAUGGUGCUCUUGAACCAGCAAACGGCGCAGCCCUGACCCAGAAGCAUCCUUCAACGCAGCCCUCCCUGUUUUCUUCUUGUGUUGCACGUUAUUCUUUGGGAUUCCCGUUUUCUUUGGGGAGAAGAAUGUGCUGGUGUUGAGCCCGGAGUGUAUUCCCCUCCGAUCCAUAAUGCGAUUCCCAGGCAGGUGAUCCUAUGCCCGCGUCUGAAAUGACGCUGGUGCUCAAAGGAGGCGUUUUUUCCCUGGACUGCGUGGCUGGCAAGAUGCUAGAGCCGAGCAGGGAGCAGCUUCGUGGCUGAUUGCCCUGACCAGAGCCUGGGACGUGCUGCACCCAAGCCAAACAUCUGCUGGGUGCUGGCUCCAUCGCUACCAAGGGUGGUGAGCAGCAAGACUGGGUGCAGGGGCUCCCCACGGCCUCCCUGCCAUCCCACAGGACAGCCUGUUCCUGCAGACACGUGUCUCGGAAAGAAUAAUCCUCUGGGGCUUUUAUGCAUGUCUGGUUUCAUCAGAUUCAGGGGAUAUUUCAGUGCCUGUAGAAAAAGAAGCAACACAACUUCCUUACCUUGCAAAGAAAAUCACGAGGCACGUUUUUGUUUCUUUUGCAAAGCAGCUUAGUGUCUAUCUGUUGAGAAGCCGUUUGGGAUUCAUGGACUGAAGGUACCUUUAUUCUUUUUUUUUUUUUUUCCUGUGCAAAAUAUCUGCACCUCUUGACCCCUCUUUCAUCCACUUCAUGUUCUAGUUGCUUGUCUUAAUAUAAGCAGUCUCUGAGUUGGCAACAUUUCAUGCAGGGGCACUACACUACCCUCAGCUUCUCUGCAAUUAAUAUUCUGUCCUGUCUCUUAAGCCCGGCCCUGUGUUCCUAAUGUCAGUUUGGCUUUGUUUAAUAUGACCAGCAAGGUAGCAUGUGUUUCCAAGCUGAGUCCUGCUGCCAUUUCUGGAGGUAUCUCCCAUUAAUCAAGAAGGCUACUUUGUCAUAGUGCAGCUAAUGUUAUCACCAAACUUUAAGUACAGAGGUGGAAUAAUAAUGGCUCCUGUUUCACUAAAUGGGGUUAACACAGCUGAAUAGCUUCCCUGAUGGUUUAUUAUGUUAGUCUUUCAGAACAUUGACUGAUUUGUUUUUAUUACCAAGAAAGCUUUUGUCUUAUGAAAAUGACUUGGGACCACAGGUCAAUGUUUUUCAUGUCACAUCUCCAUAAGAAAUACAUUGCUUCAUUAUAUUUUGUAUUCUGCCACUGCAAUCUGUAUGGCACUUAAAUUUAUUUGUCAUGACACCACUGCCAGGCUGCCAUUAAAUUGUUAAAGGAUAUUCAGGAAAUGUUUUUGCAGUAACCUUUAGAGGAAGACGUAUGGAAAUGGACUAUAUCUGUUAAUUGACUUUUUGAUAUGCAAAUCUUCCAAAGUGUAAGGC